AAGGUGGAGCCUGGAUUCUCAAGCUGCCCAACAAAACAUCCAGGACUGAACUUCCAUUAUAGUCUAACGCGGUCCAGUCUCCAAAGCUUUUGUAAAAGAAAGAGGUGUCUGAACUGAUGUCUACCAAAAACGAGGAACAGAAUGAAGACCAAUCUGAGGGUGUCGUCAUCCCACAUAUCCAGGACCACCACUGCCUAGCCAUUCUGGCUUUCUGUUUUUUCUUUCAAGAACAUA
rnacentral:lncRNA from 1 species